rnacentral:rRNA from 1 species
UACGAAGGGGGCUAGCGUUGUUCGGAUUUACUGGGCGUAAAGCGCACGUAGGCGGAUCGUUAAGUCGGGGGUGAAAUCCUGGAGCUCAACUCCAGAACUGCCUUCGAUACUGGCGAUCUUGAGUCCGGAAGAGGAGAGUGGAAUUCCUGGUGUAGCGGUGAAAUGCGCAGAUAUCAGGAGGAACACCGGUGGCGAAGGCGGUUCUCUGGGCAUGUCCUGACGCUGAGGAACGAAAGUGUGGGGAGCGAACAGG